AGGAAAGUAGGGGAUCGCAAGACCUUGCGCUUUUGGAGCGGCCGAUGUCUGAUUAGCUAGUUGGUGAGGUAAAGGCUUACCAAGGCUUCGAUCAGUAGCUGGUCUGAGAGGACGACCAGCCACACUGGGACUGGGACACGGCCCAGACUCCUACGGGAGGCAGCAGUGGGGAAUUUUGGACAAUGGGGGAAACCCUGAUCCAGCCAUGCCGCGUGAGUGAAGAAGGCCUUCGGGUUGUAAAGCUCUUUCAGCCGGAACGAAAAGGUUACGGUUAAUACCCGUGACUAAUGACGGUACCGGAAGAAGAAGCACCGGCUAACUACGUGCCAGCAGCCGCGGUAAUACGUAGGGUGCGAGCGUUAAUCGGAAUUACUGGGCGUAAAGCGUGCGCAGGCGGUUUUGUAAGUCAGAUGUGAAAUCCCCGGCGCUCAACCUGCGGAACUGCCGUUUGAAAUCUACCAGUGCU
rnacentral:rRNA from 1 species